CCUACGGGAGGCAGCAGUGAGGAAUAUUGGUCAAUGGGCGGAAGCCUGAACCAGCCAAGCAGCGUGCAGGAUGAAGGCCCUACGGGUUGUAAACUGCUUUUAUACGGGAAUAACGCGCCUUACGUGUAGGGCUUUGCAUGUACCGUAUGAAUAAGGACCGGCUAAUUCCGUGCCAGCAGCCGCGGUAAUACGGAAGGUCCGGGCGUUAUCCGGAUUUAUUGGGUUUAAAGGGAGCGUAGGCCGCAUGUUAAGCCUGCUGUGAAAGGUCCGGGCUCAACCCGGGCCCUGCAGGGCUAACUGGCGUGCUUGAGUCGGCGGAAAGCAUGCGGAAUGCGUGGUGUAGCGGUGAAAUGCUUAGAUAUGACGAAGAACCCCGAUUGCGAAGGCAGCUUGCUGCAGCGGAACUGACGCUGAUGCACGAAAGCGCGGGUAUCGAACAGGAUUAGAUACCCCGGUAGUC
rnacentral:rRNA from 1 species